rnacentral:rRNA from 1 species
UACGGAGGGUGCGAGCGUUGCUCGGAAUUAUUGGGCGUAAAGCGUACGCAGGCGGCUCGGCAAGUCGAGUGUGAAAUCCCGGGGCUCAACUCCGGAACUGCAUCCGAUACUGCCGGGCUUGAGUGCGGGAGAGGGAAGCGGAAUUCCUGGUGUAGAGGUGAAAUUCGUAGAUAUCAGGAGGAACACCGGUGGCGAAAAGCGGCUUCCUGGCCCGACACUGACGCUCAUGUACGAAAGCGUGGGGAGCAAACAGG